GUGCUUGCCUCGGCAGCACAUAUCCUAAAAUAUCCUAAAACUAUACAGAGAAGAUUAGCAUGGCCCCUGCGCAAGGAUGGCACGCAAAGUCGUGAAGCGCUCCAUAAUUUU